rnacentral:rRNA from 1 species
GAUGAACGCUGGCGGCGUGCUUAACACAUGCCAGUCGAACGGAAAGGCCCUGAGUUUGUGGGGUGCUCGAGUGGGGAAGGGGUGAGUAAAACGUGAGUAACAUGCACUUGACUUUGGGAUAACAUCAGGAAACUGGGGCUAAUAUAGGAUAGGAGCUACUGCAGCAUGGUGGGGGUUGGAAAGUUUCGGCGGUUGGGGAUGGACUAGCGGCUUAUGAGCUUGUUGGUGGGGUAGGGGAGUACCAAGGAUUUGAAGGGUAGGCGGCCUGGGAGGGUGACCAGCCACAAUAGGCCUGAGAUACGGCCCAGUCUCCUACGUUAGGCAGCAGUGGGGAGUAUUGCACAACGGUCGCAAGCCUGAGGCGGCGGCCCCGCGUUCGUAAUGCCGUCCUUCUGGUUAUGAACCGCUGUCGCCUUUGACGAAGCGUUAGUGACGGUAAUGAAUAAAGAAGCACCGGCUAACUACGUG